CGCGGCCUAUCAGCUUGUUGGUGGGGUAAUGGCCUACCAAGGCGACGACGGGUAGCCGGCCUGAGAGGGCGACCGGCCACACUGGGACUGAGACACGGCCCAGACUCCUACGGGAGGCAGCAGUGGGGAAUAUUGCACAAUGGGCGAAAGCCUGAUGCAGCGACGCCGCGUGAGGGAUGACGGCCUUCGGGUUGUAAACCUCUUUCAGCAGGGACGAAGCGUAAGUGACGGUACCUGCAGAAGAAGCGCCGGCUGACUACGUGCCAGCAGCCGCGGUAAUACGUAGGGCGCGAGCGUUGUCCGGAUUUAUUGGGCGUAAAGAGCUCGUAGGCGGUUUGUCGCGUCUGCUGUGAAAGCCCGGGGCUUAACCGCGGGUGCGCAGUGGAUACGGGCAGACUUGAGUGCGGUAGGGGAGACUGGAAUUCCUGGUGUAGCGGUGAAAUGCGCAGAUAUCAGGAGGAACACCGAUGGCGAAGGCGGGUCUCUGGGCUGAUACUGACGCUGAGGAGCGAAAGCAUGGGGAGCGAACAGGAUUAGAUACCCUGGUAGUCCAUGCCGUAAACGUUGGGCGCUAGGUGUGGGGAACCUUCCCCGUUCUCUGCGCCGCAGCUAACGCAUUAAGUGCCCCGCCUGGGGAGUACGG
rnacentral:rRNA from 1 species